UUAAUGAGCAUGAUCCAGAUGUGUUUUUCUCGUUUUCUCGUUAUUUGAGAAUAUUGCUAAAGAACGUCGUUAUAUUCGUGUUAAUACGGACACAUCUGUGUUUUCCAAUUCAACUGCACGUGGUAAACCAUCGGAUUUUGAUCUUAAAACAGAUUGUAACAGAUGCUACCAUUAUCCAUUUACAUCCAGUCUUUGUGCUAAGCUAGGCUAGCGGUGGGUGCAUCAAAUAACACUUACAGAACGCACAGAAAUGAAAAAGGUAUGUAUGGACUUAUCUAACUCUGGGGGAUACUGUGAAUAAGCUAAAGUCCCAAAAAGUCGGAGUGUUCCUUUAACAGGCGAUAUGAUGUUCUGUAUGCAGAACACCGGUUAUGAGACGAUUGUGAACGAAAUCAAAGCACUGAACGCGGGCGGUAUGAUUCAACUAUUGUUUCUUUAUUUAUUAAAAGCAAACAUACCAUUAUGUAUAACGAACUCAUGUUUAUGUACGUUCUUUUUUUAUUAUUCCCGCUGACCGCGCAACCUCCACAACCUAACGUUGCGGUCGAGGUGCCCGGGAUUAGGCCUGACAUCACCCCUGCACCCGCGAGCGCUCAGUCGAUUAGUACAGCGAGGGAACGAGCCGUGAGAGAUACGCUAACUGAAAACAGGGGAUCGCUCUCUUGUUUAAGACGACUUGUUAACCGAUACAGACCGUUACAACUGCUGAUCGACAUGAAACAGCAAACAGUGCUAGACACGGGCCAUCGUUUGGAAGAAGAGUGGCUGUGACUGCUCAGAUCCAUGCACUGCCGCAAAUAUCUACUAAUUCUGCACCUAUUGGUAUGUAUUAAUC
ensembl:lncRNA